AUUAGGUAGGACUACCCGCUGAACUUAAGCAUAUCAAUAAGCGGAGGAAAAGAAACCAACAGGGAUUGCCUCAGUAACGGCGAGUGAAGCGGCAAUAGCUCAAAUUUGAAAUCUGGCUCCUUUGGAGUCCGAGUUGUAAUUUGUAGAGGAUGCUUUGGUGCGGCCUUGGUCUAAGUUCUUUGGAACAGGACAUCACAGAGGGUGAGAAUCCCGUAUGUGGCUAAAGGCUUCAACCGUCAAAAGCUCCUUCAACGAGUCGAGUUGUUUGGGAAUGCAGCUCUAAAUGGGAGGUAAAUUUCUUCUAAAGCUAAAUAUUGGCCAGAGACCGAUAGCGAACAAGUAGAGUGAUCGAAAGAUGAAAAGCACUUUGGAAAGAGAGUUAAACAGUAUGUGAAAUUGUUGAAAGGGAAGCGCUUGCAAUCAGAUUUGCUUGUAGUUGUACAGCCUGGCUUCUGUCUGGCGUAUUCUUCUACUUGCAGGCUAGCAUCAGUUUGGGUGGUGGGAUAAAGACUUGGGGAAUGUAGCUUCACUCCUCUGGAGUGAAGUGUUAUAGCCUCAGGUGUCAUACCACCAACCUAGACUGAGGAUCGCACUUUAUGUACGGAUGCUGGCAUAAUGGUUGUAAGCGGCCCGUCUUGGAACACGGACCAAGGAGUCUAAC
rnacentral:rRNA from 1 species